rnacentral:tRNA from 1 species
AAAAUUUUAGUUUAAGAAAAAUAUUUCAUUUACAAUGAAAAGUUUAAUUAAUGAAUAUUAUUAAAAUUUUA